rnacentral:rRNA from 1 species
UUAGUGGCGAACGGGUGAGUAACACGUGAGGAACUUGCCCAUGAGCGGGGGACAACAUUCGGAAACGGAUGCUAAUACCCCAUAGGUGGAUUGGUCGCAUGACGAAUUCAUUAAAGGUGGCUUCGCUACCACUCAUGGAUAGCCUCGCGGCGUAUUAGCUAGUUGGUAAGGUAAUGGCUUACCAAGGCAGUGAUACGUAGCCGACUUGAGAGGGUGAUCGGCCACACUGGGACUGAGACACGGCCCAGACUCCUACGGGAGGCAGCAGUAGGGAAUCUUCCACAAUGGGUGCAAACCUGAUGGAGCAAUGCCGCGUGAGUGAAGAGGGUCUUCGGAUCGUAAAGCUCUGUUGUUAGAGAAGAACACGUGCUAGGUAACUACUAGCGCCUUGACGGUAUCUAACCAGAAAGUCACGGCUAACUACGUGCCAGCAGCCGCGGUAAUACGUAGGUGACAAGCGUUGUCCGGAUUUAUUGGGCGUAAAGGGAGCGCAGGCGGUCUGUUUAGUCUAAUGUGAAAGCCCACGGCUUAACCGUGGAACGGCAUUGGAAACUGACAGACUUGAAUGUAGAAGAGGAAAAUGGAAUUCCAGGUGUAGCGGUGGAAUGCGUAGAUAUUUGGAGGAACACCAGUGGCGAAGGCGAUUUUCUGGUCUAACAUUGACGCUGAGGCUCGAAAGCGUGGGGAGCGAACAGGAUUAGAUACCCUGGUAGUCCACGCUGUAAACGAUGAGUGCUAAGUGUUGGGGGCUUUCCGGCCCUCGGUGCUGGAGCUAACGUAUUAAGCNNNCCGCCUGGGGAUUACGACCGCAAGGUU